AACGCACAUUGCGCCCUUUGGCAUUCCGAAGGGCAUACCUGUUCGAGCGUCAUCUCAUCCCUCAAGCGCUGCUUGGUAUUGGGCGUUUUGUCCCCGUGUGGCUCGGUGCCUGGGGGACUCGCCCCAAAGAUAUCGGCGGUUUGCACGGCGUUCGUAGCCCACAGUACAUCGUGGUAGUUCGCAGACGCGCCUGCAAGCGUGCCGCAACAGGGCCGUUUGUGCCUUUUGGUUUGGCCUCGGAUCAGGUAGGAAUACCCGCUGAACUUAA
rnacentral:misc_RNA from 1 species